rnacentral:rRNA from 1 species
AUGGACGAAAGUCUGACGGAGCAACGCCGCGUGAGUGAAGAAGGUUUUCGGAUCGUAAAGCUCUGUCUUCAGGGACGAAUGUGCUUAAUGUGAAUAAUGUUAAGUAAUGACGGUACCUGAGGAGGAAGCCACGGCUAACUACGUGCCAGCAGCCGCGGUAAUACGUAGGUGGCAAGCGUUGUCCGGAAUUAUUGGGCGUAAAGCGCGCGCAGGCGGGAAUGUAAGUCUGUCUUAAAAGUUCGGGGCUCAACCCCGUGAUGGGAUGGAAACUACAUUUCUUGAGUGCAGGAGAGGAAAGUGGAAUUCCUAGUGUAGCGGUGAAAUGCGUAGAUAUUAGGAGGAACACCAGUGGCGAAGGCGACUUUCUGGACUGUGUCUGACGCUGAGGCGCGAAAGCCAGGGGAGUGAACGGGAUUAGAUACCCCGGUAAUCCUGGCCGUAAACGAUGGGUACUAGGUGUAGGAGGUAUCGACCCCUUCUGUGCCGGAGUUAACGCAAUAAGUACCCCGCCUGGGGAGUAC